GAUGAACGCUGGCGGCGUGCCUAAUACAUGCGAGUCGAGCGAACAGAUGAGGAGCUUGCUCCUCUGACGUUAGCGGCGGACGGGUGAGUAACACGUGGAUAACCUACCUAUCAGACUGGGAUAACUUCGGGAAACCGGAGCUAAAACCGGAUAAUAUAUUGAACUGCAUGGUUAAAUAGUGAAAGACGGUUUUGCUGACACUUAUAGAUGGAUCCUCGCCGCAUUAGCUAGUUGGUAAGGUAACGGCUUACCAAGGCAACAUUGCGUAGCCGACUUGAGAGGGGGAUCGGCCACACUGGAACGGAGACACGGUCCAGACUCCUACGGGAGGCGGCAAUAGGGAACCUUGCGCAUUGGGCGAAGUCCGGACGGAGCAACGCCGGGUGAGUAAGGAAGGUCUUCGGAUCUUAAAACUCGGUUAUUAGGGAAGAACAAAGGUGUAAUUAACUAUUCACGUCUUGACGGUACCUUAUCAGAAAGCCACGGCUAACUACGUG
rnacentral:rRNA from 1 species